AUUGAACGCUGGCGGCACGCCUUGCACAUGCAAGUCGAACGGUAACAGGUCUUCGGAUGCUGACGAGUGGCGAACGGGUGAGUAAUACAUCGGAACGUGCCCGAGAGUGGGGGAUAACGAGGCGAAAGCUUUGCUAAUACCGCAUACGAUCUCAGGAUGAAAGCAGGGGACCGCAAGGCCUUGCGCUCACGGAGCGGCCGAUGGCAGAUUAGGUAGUUGGUGGGAUAAAAGCUUACCAAGCCGACGAUCUGUAGCUGUCUGAGAGGACGACCAGCCACACUGGGACUGAGACACGGCCCAGACUCCUACGGGAGGCAGCAGUGGGGAAUUUUGGACAAUGGGCGCAAGCCUGAUCCAGCCAUGCCGCGUGCAGGAUGAAGGCCUUCGGGUUGUAAACUGCUUUUGUACGGAACGAAAAGACUCCUUCUAAUAAAGGGGGUCCAUGACGGUACCGUAAGAAUAAGCACCGGCUAACUACGUGCCAGCCGCCGCGGUAAAAC
rnacentral:rRNA from 1 species